CCUGCUGGUUAAUCUGCCUCCUCUUUGUCUUUCUCUAUCACUCUGCCCCUACCCCCGCCCUCACUGCUUUGAUUUGAAAAAUAGCGGAGGGAGAUGACUCAUCCGAGAGUUAGAGCAAAAGCUUCCAAAGUAUAGGAGUAUUUCAGGCCAUCUGGUAAAAGAAUUGUCUGUACACUGUCUGUUCACUUGCUUUUCACAGGAGUACAACCAUGCACCUAAAAAGGAAACACGCAGGAGUUGUCCAAGAUGUACGGAGCGUUUUUAUUUUUUUCCUCCAUGUCACCUCCGGGGCUCCGUAAAGAUGCGCCCACAGAAAAGGAAAAUACAACGAAGCAGUACACCGUCUUCACAACUUGGAGAAAUUGUAGGCGCUACGAACCGGAGCAAGGAUUAACCUCACCUCAUAACGAGGCCGUGACCUAUUUGCUCGGAGCAAGUCCAGAUUUACAUGAUG